CAUCAACAUUCAGUACCUCUCCUGCAAAGAAUAGCCGCGGACAUAUCUUGCUUUCCAUUGUGUUCAAGUAGAUCUCGGACAAAGGAACUCCUCCAGCAGUGACGAACUCAUCCUUAAAUUGCCCCUUUCCUUUUAUGCUAAAUGUACAAUGUUUCAAAAGAUCGGCAAUAGAAAUGAUAAAGUUAUUUGAUAUGGAAGCCCAUAAGGUAUCUCCAAUUAAACUCUCACGAUCCAAUAUAUAUUUCCAAAAUCUCUUUGCAAGGCCAAAUUCUGAAGGAAAU
rnacentral:misc_RNA from 1 species